rnacentral:rRNA from 1 species
UGGGGAAUUUUCCGCAAUGGGCGCAAGCCUGACGGAGCAACGCCGCGUGAGGGAGGAAGGCCUGUGGGUUGUAAACCUCUUUUCUCAGGGAAGAAGAUCUGACGGUACCUGAGGAAUCAGCAUCGGCUAACUCCGUGCCAGCAGCCGCGGUAAGACGGAGGAUGCAAGCGUUAUCCGGAAUUAUUGGGCGUAAAGCGUCCGUAGGCGGUUUUGAAAGUCUGCUGUUAAAGCCCAUAGCUCAACUGUGGAUGGGCAGUGGAAACUACAAGACUAGAGAGUGGUAGGGGUAGAGGGAAUUCCUAGUGUAGCGGUGAAAUGCGUAGAUAUUAGGAAGAACACCAGUGGCGAAGGCGCUCUACUGGGCCAUUACUGACGCUGAUGGACGAAAGCUAGGGGAGCGAAAGGGAUUAGAUACCCCCGUAGUCC